GACGAACGCUGGCGGCGCGCCUAACACAUGCAAGUCGAACGAGAGAGGAAGAGCUUGCUUUUCCGAUCGAGUGGCGAACGGGUGAGUAACGCGUGAGGAACCUGCCCCAAAGAGGGGGACAACAGAUGGAAACGACUGCUAAUACCGCAUAAGCCCACGGCUCGGCAUCGAGCAGAGGGAAAAGGAGCAAUCCGCUUUGAGAUGGCCUCGCGUCCGAUUAGCUAGUUGGGGAGGUAACGGCCCACCAAGGCGACGAUCGGUAGCCGGACCGAGAGGUGGAGCGGCCACAUUGGGACUGAGACACGGCCCAGACUCCUACGGGAGGCAGCAGUGGGGAAUAUUGCACAAUGGGGGAAACCCUGAUGCAGCGACGCCGCGUGGAGGAAGAAGGCCUUCGGAUUGUAAACUCCUGUUGUUGAGGAAGAUAAUGACGGUACUCAACAAGGAAGUGACGGCUAACUACGUGCCAGCAGCCGCCGUAA
rnacentral:rRNA from 1 species